GUAGACAUAGUUUAACUAAAACACUAGAUUGUGAUUCUAAAGACGGGGUUAAAAUCCCCUUGUCCACC
rnacentral:tRNA from 1 species